rnacentral:rRNA from 1 species
AGCGAACGCUGGCGGCAGGCCUAACACAUGCAAGUCGAACGAAGUCUUCGGACUUAGUGGCGGACGGGUGAGUAACACGUGGGAACGUGCCUUUAGGUUCGGAAUAACUCAGGGAAACUUGUGCUAAUACCGGAUGUGCCCUUCGGGGGAAAGAUUUAUCGCCUUUAGAGCGGCCCGCGUCUGAUUAGCUAGUUGGUGAGGUAAAGGCUCACCAAGGCUACGAUCAGUAGCUGGUCUGAGAGGAUGACCAGCAACAUUGAGACUGAGACACGGCCCAAACUCCUACGGGAGGCAGCAGUGGGGAAUCUUGCGCAAUGGGCGAAAGCCUGACGCAGCCAUGCCGCGUGGAUGAUGAAGGUCUUAGGAUUGUAAAAUCCUUUCACCGGUGAAGAUAAUGACUGUAGCCGGAGAAGAAGCCCCGGCUAACUUCGUGCCAGCCGCCGCCGUAAGAC